UAAUUAUUGCAUGGGCUGUAGGCUUUUCAC
rnacentral:piRNA from 1 species